CGCGGGCCGAGGCGCACCGGCGGGUCGCGUGCGCGGGCCGGGGUAAGAUUCCCGGUUCUCGGCAGGGGAAAUACCCCCUUUCGAAGCCGUUCCUUUGCGCCCUAAAACAAGUAGCCCCAACGUGAGAGAAACAAAAGAUCUCAGUUCCAUUGCCACCACCUUAAGAGAAGCCUUCCUUGAUCACCUCACCAAAGCAGCACUCCCCAAUCCAGUAAAAUGUAUACACAAUGGAAUGCACAUAUCUGAAGCCUGCUUUUGCUGAGUUAUAAAAAAUUCAUACACCUGUG